UGACUGUAGGUGAAAGCUUACAUCUCUUCGGUAGCAUUUUACGAGGUGCUGCAUGGUUGUCGUCAGCUCGUGCCGUGAGGUGCCGGGUUAAGUCCCAUAACGAGCGCAACCCCUACCUUUAGUUGCCAUCAGGUUAAGCUGGGGACUCUAAAGGAACUGCCUACGCAAGUAGUGAGGAAGGCGGGGAUGACGUCAAAUCAGCACGGCCCUUACGUCCAGGGCUACACACGUGCUACAAUGGCCGAUACAGAGGGCAGCUACCUGGUGACAGGAUGCAAAUCUCCAAAGUCGGUCUCAGUUCGGAUCGGAGUCUGCAACCCGACUCCGUGAAGUUGGAUUCGCUAGUAAUCGCGCAUCAGCCAUGGCGCGGUGAAUACGUUCCCGGGCCUU
rnacentral:rRNA from 1 species